UUACAAUCUCAGAUCUACCACCAACUAAAAGGUACUACAUUUUGAGACACAUGAAGAUAUUUCUACAGCGAACAAAGAUAAUUGACUACAUAUAAACUACAAAGAAAAUCAGAAGAAAAAGAUCCAGGGGAUAUAGACAAUAAUAUAGUCUAAAACCCUAUAAAAAGAA